GAGAGCGAUAAAAGAGAGAGAGAGAGAGAGAGAGAGCGAGAGAGCGGGAGAGCCAGCACUUCGAUUAUAUUGAAGCCGCUAACACUACUUCCUUUACGAUUGCUACCAUAGCGAUCGUCGUAUGGAAACCUGGAGUCUCUUCUAUUUCACGACGCGACGCUACUUCCUCAGAAGGCAGCAGUGACAACUUUUGAUCAUGAAAUUCUAACGACGGAACACCAGUAAUUUCGUAGGAUCAACACCCACCUAUAUGAUAACCUGAUCGACUGUACACUCAUUAUCGAAUAUCACCAAUGACUCGACUAUAUCGUAAUGUGUUAUCAACUUCGCAUCUGUACUAAAAAAAAGUAG
rnacentral:lncRNA from 1 species